UGAGGAGGAAGAUGAAGACUUUAGAAACACAGUUUCCCACAUGUUAUAUGCUAAAUAAAUCACUGAGAAUGUAUGGCGUUAGUGUCAGAAGAUAAAUGAUUGUUAGUUGUUGUAUGGUCGUUACACCAGACUCCACCCAGGUGCUGCAGUGACCACAACACUGGGGAGGAAACUUGAACUCAUUAUCUGUUGAACUGAGAACAUCUAUAGUCAAAAUUCAAUUACUUCACGUUUUCAAGCACAAACGCUGCUCACUGUUAAAAGAAGACUAAAUGGCGACCUUUUCAAAGCCAGGAGACAUUUCUGCUGCAGCAGCUUUGUCCUCCUGCUCCCCAUCCCCGCUCUCUAUAGCCGCAGCAGUGAAUGCUCGCCCGGCACAGGAGGGUAUCACGCUGUUUCCAUAUUGUAACCCGGAGCCUCCCCACAGCAGUGGCCCACAUGGGAAAGCGAGCCAGGCGGUGGGAUAAACCAAUUACCCCCCAGUCUGGGGUGGACUCCUGCCGGUGCACCAUGCAGCCGCUCCUGGUCCGGGCCCUCCUGGGCUCGUUCUCCAUGAGAGCUCGCUGAAAUUCUCAGAGAUGAGAAUUGUGUGGUCUUAAAAGCCCGCAGAGAGGCUAUAUUUUGCUUAGAAAUUUGACAUGGUGCCCCCCAGGAACAAUACCAGUGGAGGAGGCUUCAAACUGAGACUGGAAUGGAAGAAUGGAAAAAAAGUGAGUGGAAAGCAUGUGGUUUGGUUUUUGUGGAGCCUAUUACUGGAUUAAAAACUGCUUGAUGGUGAAAAUGUCACGUUAGGCGGCAUUAUUAAAAUCAGUCUAAAUGUAGUUUGUCUAAGAAAAAGAACAUGAGACAAUAUUGCAAUUAGAGAUUCAGAAAUAUGAAGAAAUGUAUAAACAUGUGGAGGAAAUGGUUACAAAGAGAAAAUGAGGAUUAAGUGAGGACUCUUCCCUCCACAGACUCCGUGGACUCAUGGGUUCCUGAUGGUUUCUGGAUGACAGCAGUCGUAACAAUGGUCAUUAUGUCGGCCGGGGGCCUUGUCGCUGCGGGGCCAUUGUGUGGGCCCCAUUCAGCACACAGUCAUUUACACUUUCAUUGGCAGCUAUUUAGUCCUCAUAAAAAGUUCAACACACCAAUUUGUGCGUUCUGCUCAGCCAGGGACAAGUGUGGAAAAGGCUUGGAAAGCAGUUGCUUUAAAAGUCAAUUAAUUGUUCCUGGCCGCUGGGAGGGGCCGGAGGGGAGGAUCGCCGGGCUCUGGGGCCUCACAUCUGUCCAUUCGUCUUCUUCAGUCUUGAUGCAGACAGACCACAAGUCAAAAGAAAGGGUCGCUGAGGAACUCAGUUUAUCCGUCGUCUUGGGAAUGCAGAGCUGGAAUCGAACCUGUGCCUUUAAGGUAGAAGAAAAACUCCAUAUCCAACAACCAACCAUUUUAAUACACUGCGGAACUCACUCUGCAUCCUGCUGCUCCUGCCUUCGUCCGUGGCCACACUCCGGUUCCUGAGCACCUCAUAUCUGAAGCUCAUCGUUCGUCUGCUCCACUGUCCGUCACUCUGCAGCGGGCUGGCCUGCAGGUAGAU